rnacentral:rRNA from 1 species
AUUGAACGCUGGCGGCAGGCCUAACACAUGCAAGUCGAGCGAGUGGCGGACGGGUGAGUAAUGUCUGGGGAACUGCCUGAUGGAGGGGGAUAACUACUGGAAACGGUAGCUAAUACCGCAUACUAUCGGAUGAACCCAUAUGGGAUUAGCUAGUAGGUGGGGUAAAGGCUCACCAAGGCGACGAUCCCUAGCUGGUCUGAGAGGAUGACCAGCCACACUGGAACGGAGACACGGUCCAGACUCCUACGGGAGGCAGCAGUGGGGAAUAUUGCACAAUGGGCGCAAGCCUGAUGCAGCCAUGCCGCGUGUAUGAAGAAGGCCUUAGGGUUGUAAAGUACUUUCAGCGGGGAGGCGUUACCCGCAGAAGAAGCACCGGCUAACUCCGUGCCAGCAGCCGCGGUAAUAC